CGGGUGAGUAAUACAUAAGUAACCUGCCCUAGACAGGGGGAUAACUAUUGGAAACGAUAGCUAAGACCGCAUAGGUACGGACACUGCAUGGUGACCGUAUUAAAAGUGCCUCAAAGCACUGGUAGAGGAUGGACUUAUGGCGCAUUAACUGGUUGGCGGGGUAACGGCCCACCAAGGCGACGAUGCGUAGCCGACCUGAGAGGGUGACCGGCCACACUGGGACUGAGACACGGCCCAG
rnacentral:rRNA from 1 species